rnacentral:tRNA from 1 species
GGAGAUGUGGCUCAGUGGUAGAGUGCUUGCCUCACAUGCAGGAGGCCCUAGGUUCAAUCCACAGCACUCCU